rnacentral:rRNA from 1 species
CUAAGAAUAUUCCGCAAUGGGGGAACCCUGACGGAGCGACGCCGCGUGGACGAUGAAGGCCGGAAGGUUGUAAAGUCCUUUUAUGGCAGAGGAACGAGCGGGGGAGUGGAAGGCCCUCGCGGUGACUGUAGGCCAUGAAUAAGCACCGGCUAAUUACGUGCCAGCAGCCGCGGUAACACGUAAGGUGCGAGCGUUGUUCGGAAUCAUUGGGCGUAAAGGGCAUGUAGGCGGUCUGUCAAGCCAGGCGUGAAAGCCAGGGGCUCAACCCCUGAACUGCGCUUGGAACUGGCGGACUGGAGUCGCUGAGGGGGAGCC